GUCCUCGUAGUUUAAAGGUAGAAUACUUGUCCGGUAAACGAGUGGUGCCAGUUCGAUUCUGGCCGGGGUUA
rfam:Folsomia candida strain VT population Fcan01_Sc005, whole genome shotgun sequence.